AGUGAACGCUGGCGGUAGGCCUAACACAUGCAAGUCGAACGGCAGCACAGUAAGAGCUUGCUCUUACGGGUGGCGAGUGGCGGACGGGUGAGGAAUACAUCGGAAUCUACUUUUUCGUGGGGGAUAACGUAGGGAAACUUACGCUAAUACCGCAUACGACCUACGGGUGAAAGCAGGGGAUCUUCGGCCCUUGCGCGAUUGAAUGAGCCGAUGUCGGAUUAGCUAGUUGGGGGGGUAAAGGCCCACCAAGGCGACGAUCCGUAGCUGGUCUGAGAGGAUGAUCAGCCACACUGGAACUGAGACACGGUCCAGACUCCUACGGGAGGCAGCAGUGGGGAAUAUUGGACAAUGGGCGCAAGCCUGAUCCAGCCAUACCGCGUGGGUGAAGAAGGCCUUCGGGUUGUAAAGCCCUUUUGUUGGGAAAGAAAAGCAGCAGGUUAAUACCCCGCUGUUCUGACGGUACCCAAAGAAUAAGCACCGGCUAACUUCGUG
rnacentral:rRNA from 1 species